UUAACUCAAAUUUGUAUGGAGUUGAAACGUUUGCUUAUGUUUGUCGCUAGGGGUGCUGCUCCAACUGGAUAUAAGUUUGAGUUA
rnacentral:pre_miRNA from 1 species